rnacentral:rRNA from 1 species
UACGUAGGGUCCGAGCGUUGUCCGGAAUUAUUGGGCGUAAAGAGCUCGUAGGCGGUUUGUCGCGUCUGCCGUGAAAGUCCGGGGCUCAACUCCGGAUCUGCGGUGGGUACGGGCAGACUAGAGUGAUGUAGGGGAGACUGGAAUUCCUGGUGUAGCGGUGAAAUGCGCAGAUAUCAGGAGGAACACCGAUGGCGAAGGCAGGUCUCUGGGCUGACACUGACGCUCAUGCACGAAAGCGUAGGGAGCAAACAGG